UACGGAGGGUGCGAGCGUUGUCCGGAAUCACUGGGCGUAAAGGGCGCGUAGGUGGCGGCCCAAGUCAACGGUGAAAGCUCGGCGCUCAACGCCGAGUCGGCCGUCGAUACUGGGUUGCUUGAGCACUGUAGGGGCCAAUGGAAUUCCGGGUGUAGCGGUGGAAUGCGCAGAUAUCAGGAAGAACACCCGUGGCGAAGGCGGCUCUCUGGGACGGUACUGACGCUGAGGCGCGAAAGCCAGGGGAGCGAACGGG
rnacentral:rRNA from 1 species